rnacentral:rRNA from 1 species
CACGAACCGUCCAAACGUUAUUCGGAAUUAUUGGGCUUAAAGGGUGCGUAGGCGGCCUUCUAAGUCGGGUGUGAAAUCCUUCGGCUCAACCGAAGAAUUGCGCCCGAUACUGGAAGGCUAGAGGGAGACAGGGGUGAGCGGAACUGAUGGUGGAGCGGUGAAAUGCGUUGAUAUCAUCAGGAACACCGGUGGCGAAAGCGGCUCACUGGGUCUCUACUGACGCUGAGGCACGAAAGCCAGGGUAGCGAACGGG